rnacentral:rRNA from 1 species
GACGAACGCUGGCGGCGUGCUUAACACAUGCAAGUCGAACGGAAAGGCCCUGCUUGCAGGGUACUCGAGUGGCGAACGGGUGAGUAACACGUGGGUGAUCUGCCCUGCACUUCGGGAUAAGCCUGGGAAACUGUGUCUAAUACCGGAUAGUAGCCAUUUUUAGUGUGAUUGUUGGAAAGUUUUUUCGGUGUAGGAUGAGCUCGCGGCCUAUCAUCUUGUUGGUGGGGUAAUGGGCUACCAAGGCGGCGACGGGUAGCCGGCCUGAGAGGGUGGACGGCCAAAGUGGGACUGAGAUACGGCACAGACGCCGACGGGAGGAAGAAGUGGGGAAGAAUGAACAAUGGGCGCAAGCCUGAUGAAGAGAAGCCGCGUGGGGGAUGACGGCCUUAGGGUUGUAAAAUCCAUUCGCUAGGGACGAAGCUUUUUGUGACGGUACCUAGAUAAGAAGCACCGGCUAACUACGUG